UACAGAGGUCUCAAGCGUUGUUCGGAUUCAUUGGGCGUAAAGGGUGCGUAGGCGGCGCGGUAAGUCGGGUGUGAAAUUUCGAGGCUUAACUUCGAAACUGCAUUCGAUACUGCCGUGCUUGAGGACUGGAGAGGAGACUGGAAUUUAUGGUGUAGCGGUGAAAUGCGUAGAUAUCGUAAGGAAGACCAGUGGCGAAGGCGGGUCUCUGGACAGUUCCUGACGCUGAGGCACGAAGGCCAGGGGAGCAAACGGG
rnacentral:rRNA from 1 species